AGUGGCGUCUUCUCCUCCUCUUCAAUGGCAUGACUAAUCCAAGAGCUACGGAUAGUCUUAGUUCAUGUGCUUGGGGUUGGUCUAAUCCAAAAUAGGAAAGUCUAUGGUAGCUGCUUCCCAGCUAUUUUGUACUGGGGACAAUCUGGUCCUGUCUCACUCAGGACGUUUGAUCUAAGCCUUCCAUACCCUCUCCACCUCAUCCCAAGUCUUAUAGGUUGCAAUGCUGAUACUUGAACCACCCGCUUUCAGAGAUUUGGGGCCACCUGGAGGUAAAGAGGUGGGGCUGAGAGGUGGUGCUGGUGCUACUCUGUGGGAACUAGUACCCACAUGAGGGAACUACCCUUUCCUGUAACCCCAGAAAAAUAGCUCCAGGCAUGGAAAUGUCUAGUGCAAACCCACAUCAAGGGUGUCUGUUCGCGUUUGAAAUUCAUCGGCACCAGAAAGAGCUAACAUGUUGGCAGUAUCUAGAAAACCAUCAACAUGAGCAUGGGACAGUUCGCUUUGCAGCUGAUCCCACCAUAGUGAGGAGGACGUCUUGCUCUGUUACCUAUGCUGAAGUGCAGUGUUACAAUCAAAGUUCACUGUAGCCUUAACACCUGGGCUCAAGUGAUCCUCUUGCCUCAGCUUCCUGAGUGGCUGGAAAUGCAGACACAUGCCACCGUGCCCAGCUUCUACACUUUUUAAGAAUCACAAAAUCCACUUCCAUUCUUCAAAAAUUUAUUAUUUAUUAUUAAAAAUCUCAAACAAACACAGACAUAUGGGGAUACCAGCAUUCCCCUCCUGGAUACCAGGCAGCUUCAGCCCUGGCAGGCACGAUAGAAGAAAAUACUUGUUACACAUCCUCAUCAACUCUCAGAGGGAUCCUGAGCCGUAGAUGGAGGAAACGCAGACGGAGUAAGCACAGGAUGUUUGCUUCCUGCUGCAAUAUCCCCAGGUACCUACCCAGCUGAAGGGGAUGGGAUGGUACGCCUGUGAGAAGCUACAGGCCAGGUUGGUCAACUGGGGACAAGGGAGUUCAUGGGGACACUGUGAACACAUAAAAAAAUGAGGUAAGACAAAAGAGCCAUCAAUCACAAAACUUAAAAACUGAGAAUAAUAGAGUCAAAAGGGGCCAGGGAGAAGGGAGGACAGGAGCAGUGGGUAGGAAGAGCCAGGGGAAUCAUUAGGUAGGAACUGGAUAGGAACACAAAGUAGUGGAGAGUGGCUUAGCUUUACCAUCUUACAUUUCCCGGCCACGCCUAAGUUCAGAUCCGUGUGGUGGGACAGGCAGAAGUAAUACUCACCGGGGCAAAGACAAAACCAGGUCGAGGGUCCAAAGGUGACUUCUCUUUUCCCUGAAAUCAAAGGAAAUAAAAGAAAUAAAGCUGGGCCAAGGGUCUAUUUUCAUAAUUCAAUCUCAAAAAAAAAAAAAAAAAAAAAA
rnacentral:lncRNA from 1 species